AUUGCAAGGUUCCUACAUUCGAAGGCAAGUCUCCGGAUGGUAAACAGCUUAAGUGCGGACCCCAGAGGGGAUCUCUAAUACAGUGUGCUAAUGACGGUACCGUAAGAAUAAGCACCGGCUAACUACGUGCCAGCAGCCGCGGUAAUACGUAGGGUGCAAGCGUUAAUCGGAAUUACUGGGCGUAAAGCGUGCGCAGGCGGUUUUGUAAGACAGUCGUGAAAUCCCCGGGCUCAACCUGGGAAUUGCGAUUGUGACUGCAAAGCUGGAGUGCGGCAGAGGGGGAUGGAAUUCCGCGUGUAGCAGUGAAAUGCGUAGAUAUGCGGAGGAACACCGAUGGCGAAGGCAAUCCCCUGGGCCUGCACUGACGCUCAUGCACGAAAGCGUGGGGAGCAAACAGGAUUAGAUACCCUGGUAGUCCACGCCCUAAACGAUGUCAACUGGUUGUUGGGUCUCUUCUGACUCAGUAACGAAGCUAACGCGUGAAGUUGACCGCCUGGGGAGUACGGCCGCAAGGUUGAAACUCAAA
rnacentral:rRNA from 1 species